UCUUCCUUCCUUGGCCAUUUCUUGCUCAUAUGAACUAUAGACACCUAAGAGUGCCUGAUAAAUUUCUUUCAUAUAUUCUGGUAGUUCGUCCUUCAUGCUAAUAUCAAAGCUCUCAAUGACUUUGGUAAAGAGUUCAAGUUCUUCAAGAGUACCAUAAGCAUCAUAUGUAUCAUCAAUUACAGACAACAUGGCUAUAGCUUUGGUUAGCAUACUUCUGCCUAGAGCAUAAUGG
rnacentral:misc_RNA from 1 species